UAACUUCUUAGAUUAGAACUUGGGGUAUGGG
rnacentral:piRNA from 1 species